rnacentral:rRNA from 1 species
GACGAACGCUGGCGGCGUGCUUAACACGUGCAAGUCGAACGGAAAGGCCCUGCUUUUGUGGGGUGCUCGAGUGGCGAACGGGUGAGUAACACGUGAGUAACCUGCCCUUGACUUUGGGAUAACUUCAGGAAACUGGGGCUAAUACCGGAUAGGAGCUCCUGCUGCAUGGUGGGGGUUGGAAAGUUUCGGCGGUUGGGGAUGGACUCGCGGCUUAUCAGCUUGUUGGUGGGGUAGUGGCUUACCAAGGCUUUGACGGGUAGCCGGCCUGAGAGGGUGACCGGCCACAUUGGGACUGCGAUACGGCCCAGACUCCUACGGGAGGCAGCAGUGGGGAAUAUUGCACAAUGGGCGGAAGCCUGAUGCAGCAACGCCGCGUGCGGGAUGACGGCCUUCGGGUUGUAAACCGCUUUCGCCUGUGACGAAGCGUGAGUGACGGUAAUGGGUAAAGAAGCACCGGCUAACUACGUG